rnacentral:rRNA from 1 species
GAUGAACGCUGGCGGCGUGCCUAAUACAUGCAAGUCGAGCGAACAGACGAGGAGCUUGCUCCUCUGACGUUAGCGGCGGACGGGUGAGUAACACGUGGAUAACCUACCUAUAAGACUGGGAUAACUUCGGGAAACCGGAGCUAAUACCGGAUAAUAUAUUGAACCGCAUGGUUCAAUAGUGAAAGACGGUUUUGCUGUCACUUAUAGAUGGAUCCGCGCCGCAUUAGCUAGUUGGUAAGGUAACGGCUUACCAAGGCAACGAUGCGUAGCCGACCUGAGAGGGUGAUCGGCCACAGUGGAACUGAGACACGGUCCAGACUCCUACGGGAGGCAGCAGUAGGGAAUCUUCCGCAAUGGGCGAAAGCCUGACGGAGCAACGCCGCGUGAGUGAUGAAGAUCUUCGGAUCGUAAAACUCUGUUAUUAGGGAAGAACAAAUGUGUAAGUAACUAUGCACGUCUUGACGGUACCUAAUCAGAAAGCCAAGGCUAACUACGUG